UGCGGACUGCAUACGGUAUUGACAAAGGCUAGUAGAAUGAGAUGGGAAGCUCAACCAUAGAACGUGAGAGUCGUGUAAACGAAAGCGUGAGUCAGCCAGCAGGAUCCAGAGUACCGCCGGACACGUGAAACCCGGUGGGAAUACGGGGGGACCACCCUCCAAGCCUAAAUACUCUCCAAUGACCGAUAGUGAAUAGUACUGUGAAGGAAAGGUGAAAAGAACCCCUGGCGGGGAGUGAAAUAGAACCUGAAACCUUGUGCCUACAAGCACAUAGAGCACAUCAACGUGUGAUAUGGUACCUUUUGUAGAAUGGUCCGGCGAGUGAAUGUCACUAGCGAGGUUAAGGACUUAAGGUCUGUAGCCGAAGCGAAAGCGAGUCUUAAUAGGGCGAUAUAGUUAGUGGUAUUCGACCCGAAACCGAGUGACCUAGCCAUGAGCAGGCUGAAGUGGAGGUAAAACUCCAUGGAGGGCCGAACCCACUCCCGUUGAAAUGGUAGGGGAUGACUUGUGGCUAGCGGAGAAAUUCCAAUCGAACUCGGAGAUAGCUGGUUCUCUCCGAAAUAGCUUUAGGGCUAGCCUCAAUAUACAUUACUGCAGGUAAAGCACUGAAUGGGCUAGGGGGCGAAAGCUUACUGAACCCUAUCAAACUAAGAAUGGCAGAUAAUGAAAUAUUGGGAGUCACACUGCGUGAGAUAAGUUUCGUGGUCGAAAGGGAAACAGCCCAGACCCACAGCUAAGGUCCCAAAGUACGGUUAAGUGGAAAAGGAUGUGGAAUUGCACAGACAACCAGGAUGUUGGCUCAGAAGCAGCCAUUCAUUCAAAGAGUGCGUAAUAGCUCACUGGUCGAGUGACUCUGCGCCGAAGAUUUAACGGGGCUAAAUCGUACACCGAAGCUUGGGAAUAUGCAUUUAUGUAUGUUGGUAGGAGAGCGUCGUAUGCGGGGUGAAGUCAUAGCGUAAGCGGUGGUGGACUGCAUAGGAGUGAGAAUGCCGGAAUGAGUAGCGAGAAUUAUGUGAGAAUCAUAAUGGCCGAAAGACUAAGGUUUUAGAAGGAAGGUUCGUCCGCUUCUAGUUAGCCGGGGGCUAAGGCGAGGCCGAGAGGCGUAGUCGAUGCACAUACGGUUGAGAUUCCGUAGCCACCUACGAUUUAAACUAAAGGACACAUCAAAAGGGCAUGACCCGGGCGUUGGUUGACCCGGGCGUAAGGGACCGAAAAUAAGUAGGGAAGCAUGCUUGGCUGGUGGCGAGAAAAGUUUAGUGUAUAUAAUGUAGGUGCCCGUACUGUAAACCGACACAGGUAGUCAGGAAGAGAAUUCUAAGGCCAUCGGGAGAAGCGUUGUUAAGGAACUCGGCAAAUUGACCCCGUAACUUCGGAAUAAGGGGUGCUCACGAGAGUGAGCCGCAGUGAAUAGGUCCAGGCGACUGUUUAUCAAAAACACAGCUCUCUGCUAAAUCGAAAGAUGAUGUAUAGGGGGUGACACCUGCCCGGUGCUGGAAGGUUAAGAGGAGGAGUGAGAGCUCCGAAUUGAAGCCCCAGUAAACGGCGGCCGUAACUAUAACGGUCCUAAGGUAGCGAAAUUCCUUGUCGGGUAAGUUCCGACCCGCACGAAUGGUGUAAUGAUCUGGACACUGUCUCAACAACGCACCCGGCGAAAUUGUAGUACCGGUGAAGAUGCCGGUUACCCGCGGCAAGACGGAAAGACCCCAUGGAGCUUUACUGUAACCUGAUAUUGGGUUUCGGUAUUUUAUGUACAGGAUAGGUGGGAGGCUAUGAAGCAUGGACGCCAGUUCAUGUGGAGCCAACCUUGGGAUACCACUCUUAAGAUACUGGAAUUCUAACCUGCGGCCGUGAAUCCGGUCGGGGGACAUUGUCAGGCGGGCAGUUUGACUGGGGCGGUCGCCUCCAAAAGAGUAACGGAGGCGC
rnacentral:rRNA from 1 species